CCUUGGGUGGCACAGUGGGUCAGUGCAUCUGGCUGUCAACCAGAAAGUUGGGGGGUUGAGCCCACCCAGGGA
rnacentral:tRNA from 1 species